rnacentral:lncRNA from 1 species
GACAACACCAGAUGCAGAGCCCAGGGUAAAGGACACCGUGGUGACUAUUGCAGAGUCUGAGAAAUAAUGAUAUUCAUGUACAUCUUUCAGAAUCUGAGAAGCAUGCGAUAAACCAG